rnacentral:rRNA from 1 species
GAUCAAUAGCUGGUCUGAGAGGACGAUCAGCCACACUGGAACUGAGAUACGGUCCAGACUCCUACGGGAGGCAGCAGUCAGGAAUAUUGGGCAAUGGGCGAAAGCCUGACCCAGCAACGCCGCGUGAAGGAUGAAGGCCUUCGGGUCGUAAACUUCUGUCGAGAGGGAAGAAUGCGUGCGGGUAAAUAAUCCGCGCGUUUGACGGUACCUCAAAAGGAAGCACCGGCUAACUCCGUGCCAGCAGCCGCGGUAAUACGGAGGGUGCAAGCGUUGUUCGGAUUCAUUGGGCGUAAAGCGAGUGUAGGCGGUUUGACAAGUCGGAUGUGAAAUCCCGGGGCCCAGCCCCGGAACUGCAUCCGAUACUGUCUGGCUAGAGUCCCGGAGAGGGUGGCGGAAUUCCCGGUGUAGGGGUGAAAUCCGUAGAUAUCGGGAGGAACACCAGUGGCGAAGGCGGCCACCUGGACGGUGACUGACGCUGAGACUCGAAAGCGUGGGUAGCAAACAGGAUUAGAUACCCUGGUAGUCCACGCUGUAAACGGUGAGUGCUCGUCGUCGUGGGUAUUGACCCCUGCGGUGACCAAGUUAACACAUGAAGCACUCCGCCUGGGAAGUACGGUCGCAAGACUAAAACUCAAAGAAAUUGACGGGGGCCCGCACAAGCGGUGGAGCAUGUUGUUUAAUUCGAAGCAACGCGCAGAACCUUACCUGGAUUUGACAUCUCUGGAAUCCUCCUGAAAGGGAGGAGUGCCUUCGGGAGCCAGAAGACAGGUGCUGCAUGGCUGUCGUCAGCUCGUGUCGUGAGGUGUUGGGUUAAGUCCCGCAACGAGCGCAACCCCUAUCGUUAGUUGCUAGCAGUUCGGCUGAGCACUCUAGCGAGACUGCCGGUGUUAAACCGGAGGAAGGUGGGGACGACGUCAAGUCCUCAUGGCCUUUAUAUCCAGGGCUACUAACGUGCUACAAUGGUCGGUACUGAGGGCUGCGAACCCGCGAGGGCAAGCCAAUCCCACAAAGCCGGCCUCAGUUCGGAUUGAAGUCUGCAUUUCGACUUCAUGAAGGCGGAAUCGCUAGUAAUCGCGGAUCAGCAUGCCGCGGUGAAUACGUUCCCGGGCCUUGUACACACCGCCCGUCACGCCACGAAAGCUGGUUGAACCAGAAGUCGAUGACCCAACCGCAAGGAGGGAAUCGCCCAAGGUAUGACUGGUGAUUGGGGUGAAGUCGUAACAAGGUA